rnacentral:rRNA from 1 species
CAAUAGCGUAUAUUAAAGCUGUUGCGGUUAAAAAGCUCGUAGUUGGAUUUCUGUCAAGGACAACUGGUCCGCCCUCCGGGUGAGCACAUAGUUUGGUCUUGACAUCUUGCUGGAAGCUGUUGCUGCACUUGGCUGUGUGGCGCAGUGUUCAGCACUUUCACUUUGAGGAAAUUGGAGUGUUUCAAGCAGGCACAUGCCUUUGGACACAGUAGCAUGGAAUAAUUAGAUUGGGCCUUUGCUCCAAUUUGUCGGUUUCUGGAGCUGAGGUGAGUAUUAAUGGGGAUUGUUGGGGGCAUCCGAAUUUAGCCGUCAGAGGUGAAAUUCUUGGAUCUGCUAAAGACGGACAACUGCGAAAGCGUUUGCCCAGGAUGUUUUCAUUGA